GGGCGUUUGGCAGAACGGUUAUGCACCUGACUUUUAAUCAGGUUGACACAGGUUCAACCCCUGUAGCGCCCA
rnacentral:tRNA from 2 species